GAUGAACGCUGGCGGCGUGCCUAAUACAUGCCAGUCGAGCGAACAGACGAGAAGCUUGCUCCUCUGACGUUAGCGGCGGACGGGUGAGUAACACGUGGAUAACCUACCUAUAAGACUGGGAUAACUUCGGGAAACCGUAGCUAAUACCGGAUAAUAUAUUGAACCGCAUGGUUCAAUAGUGAAAGACGGUCUUGCUGUCACUUAUAGAUGGAUCCGCGCUGCAUUAGCUAGUUGGUAAGGUAACGGCUUACCAAGGCAACGAUGCAUAGCCGACCUGAGAGGGUGAUCGGCCACACUGGAACUGAGACACGGUCCAGACUCCUACGGGAGGCAGCAGUAGGGAAUCUUCCGCAAUGGGCGAAAGCCUGACGGAGCAACGCCGCGUGAGUGAUGAAGGUCUUCGGAUCGUAAAACUCUGUUAUUAGGGAAGAACAAAUGUGUAAGUAACUGUGCACAUCUUGACGGUACCUAAUCAGAAAGCCACGGCUAACUACGUG
rnacentral:rRNA from 1 species